GGAAGGGUACAGCUCAGUGGUGGAGCGUGUGCUUAACAUGCAUGAGGUCCUGGGUUCAGUCCUCAGUCCCUCCA
rfam:Camelus ferus unplaced genomic scaffold scaffold797, whole genome shotgun sequence.